rnacentral:rRNA from 1 species
UUACUCCUACGGGACGCAGCAGCGGGGGAUAUUGCACAAUGGGGGGAACCCUGAUGCAGCGACGCCGCGUGAAGGAAGAAGUAUCUCGGUAUGUAAACUUCUAUCAGCAGGGAAGAAAAUGACGGUACCUGACUAAGAAGCCCCGGCUAACUACGUGCCAGCAGCCGCGGUAAUACAUAGGGGGCAAGCGUUAUCCGGAUUUACUGGGUGUAAAGGGAGCGUAGGCGGCAGUGCAAGUCAGAAGUGAAAGCCCGGGGCUCAACUCCGGGACUGCUUUUGAAACUGUACAGCUUGAUUGCAGGAGG